UACAGAGGGUGCGAGCGUUAAUCGGAAUUACUGGGCGUAAAGAGUGCGUAGGUGGUUUAAUAAGUCAGAUGUGAAAUCCCCGGGCUCAACCUGGGAACUGCAUUUGAAACUGUUAAGCUAGAGUACGGUAGAGGGAAGUGGAAUUUCCGGUGUAGCGGUGAAAUGCGUAGAUAUCGGAAGGAACAUCAGUGGCGAAGGCGACUUCCUGGACCGCAACUGACACUGAGGCACGAAAGCCAGGGGAGCAAACGGG
rnacentral:rRNA from 1 species